CUGUUGCCCUCAUGUGGACACAUUCUGUUUGGAGAACGGGACAAGCUGGAGUUAGAAGAUGAGGUGGACUCUGUCUUGGUGUAUUUCUUGAGUGGAACUUCGACAUUCACCACCAUCCUGAGUGUUUUACUGGCUCUCACAGUGUGCAUGAUGAACAAGGGACACAGCCGCCAAUC